UUCCUACACGCACGCUCCGCCCUCCUUGACCCGUGCAAUGGAAGCCCCAGCCAGGUGACCACACACUGAUGCCAUUAGGGAGUCUCCGUGGCCGCCGAGGAGCUGAGAGUGGGCUGACAAAAACCUUCAGCAGAGAUGGAGGGAGGCGGUGUGGGGGCUGAGAGAGACCUGGCCAUGGUGAGCAGCAACCAGUUGUCGCCGCCUCUCCAUUGUGACUACACCACGUGUUUACGUUAGUGAUCGCGAAAACAUGAUAAAUUUCCGUUCUCUUUUUUUCCUGCUUGUUUUCCCCGGGUGAUGAUAGUACCGGUUUAAUGAAAGUGGCGUGUUAUUUCAUUUGUGAAUAUUGCACUGUGUUAUGUUUGUGAUGUUCGUGUGAGGAAGGAAAAGAAAAGAUAACAAGUGAAAGAUAACAAGUGAUUUGAAAAGGAUGCGAUCCUUGAUGGUAUCGUCGAGGUGGCGUGCCGUAGGUUAGAGUAGCUGGACAGGAGAGCCCGAAGGAGGCGUGCUCGAUGAUGCAAUUGACCCCUCCUCCUACCUACCCGUGACCCAAGCCCUGGGCACUCCUCGCAGGCACCAGACCGCAAGCACGUCACCUGACCGCGAGGCUUUCCCAGUUCCCUGCCUUGGAACACACGGCAUCGCGCGUCUUCUGUGACGGCACGAGUUUUAAUCUUUCCUCCCAGGGAGCUGAAAAAGGAAAAAAAAUAGUUCGCUUUCCUGAAUCCACAUCUUCCAUCUAGUGCGUAUGGUCCUGCAAGCAUGUUUUUGCCUGGAGUAGCUUUUGUGGGACUUGGGAUCGGCGCGGUUGACAGAUUGCACAAAAAUAAGGCUCGCCGUUAGAUGAACUCGGGCGUCACAAGGCAAGACAUACGAGGCCAGAACCUCAUCAUCAUUUACCGGAUGUGACCUUAAUGUGCUAUGCGCAGCAAUUAUCAUGAUAUUAUCAGAAAACAUCCGAGUGUUGGUGUUGGAGUUAUCAGAUCAUCCUCCCACUUUGAAGUUAAGGACGUGAGCAGUAAACUAGUCAGAGGAGGAGGAGGAUAGAUGUAUGGACGUGCUUGUGUUAUAUCAGUGAAGUGAAUAAGUUAUAUUUAAAGUCUAG